UUCCUGGUGGCUCAGAUGGUAAAGCGUCCGCCUGCAGUGCGGGAGACCCAGGUUCGAUUCCUGGGUCGGGAAG